rfam:Sulfitobacter sp. H3 contig2, whole genome shotgun sequence.
GGGCCGUUAGCUCAGUUGGUAGAGCAACUGACUUUUAAUCAGUAGGUCGUUGGUUCGAACCCAACACGGCUCA